AAACACAAACAGAUGAAUGGCUCAGAUAAGCGAUAAAUGCAUACUGUUGUUGUGCCUCCAGGAACAGGGUUGGGAAACACGACUAGACAACCUAUAAUACUGUAGCUGAUGGAGAGCAUCACUGCGUGGUCACAGCAAUCUACAGACCACGUAGAUAUAAUUUGUGGACAACAUUGCCAAACAUAAACUGCAGUGAAGAGGCAGAGCAGCUCCGGGAGGCGGUGCUUUCUGAGCGUGUCCGUCUGCAGCAGGCGGAGUUAGAGGCAGAACAAUGGAAGGAGGAGUUGAGGAGGCUGCAGACACACAACUGUGAACAAAGCCAACAAAUCCAACAACUGCGACAGGACAGACAAAACAGUCAGGAGCACAACAACAGACUGCAGCACGAGGUGACUUUACUCCUGCAGCAGUUAGCAGAGAGCAGACAGCUGCUACACGCCCUAC